rnacentral:lncRNA from 1 species
AAUGUAUAAUAAAAUGUUUUGACAUUACAAUGAAUACUUAUUUUUGUGACAUUGUUGAAAGCCAAGUUGACAACACCACUGCAUGAAAAAAAGUGAAUCAUAUGAAGCCUCUCAACAUCCCUUGACCUGGAAAAAAGAGAAAAAAUUAGAGAAAUGAUGGAGUAAUGCUACAAUUAAUCUACCACUCAAGUGUUUCACUUAGGCAUAUAACUUAUAAGAGUGAGUUGAAGUAAGACUUACUAUAUUUGUUAUAAUAUAUAUAAGAUAUAUAUGACCCGUUGUUACAGUACGUAUAAGAUAUAAAAUAGAAUCUGAUAUGCAUGUAGACUCGAAUAACAUAAUAAUACACAGUUACUCUAAUUAAAUCACAUUAUCUCUUUAAAUAUGCAUAGACAAAAAUAAUUGCCCUAGAAAUUUUGUCUUUAAAAGAUGAAUUACAACAAGAUUCUCACAGGUCUUUAGAAGCCACUAAUGAGCACCAAACCGGACUUAAUCUUCUGUCAUGUCUGAUGUUGUUAGCAUCUAACAAAGCCUGCAGAGAAACAUUUGAAUUUUUCUAGAAGUAUUUGCCUUUUUUGGACUCAAACUUAACAACUUCUGUCUUUCACAAUCAGGAGGGUGUAAAUCAGUCCCAUUCUUUUUAUCUCUGGUUUUCCUUUUAGUUCUAAAAGAAAGUUAUUUAGUCUUCACAACAUUUGUAGGUUCUGACUUGGAUGCAGAUUCUUGUAAGGUAGACAUUGAGAAUUUACACCUAUUUGCAACUUCUACCAGAAAGUUCAGAGACUUCCAUUAAAUCAACAUGAGAAUUCAAAAGUCAUCUUAAAACUAUUUUUUAUGUGUGAUAACAUCUUCUGCCCUUUAUACAUUCACAUCCCAUGCAUACCUUCACACCCAAACAUCAUAAUAUCCUUGACAUGGUCACAAUUUCAAUACAGAGCAUUAACAAUUAUAAUUAUGCUUGAAUUGAAAGUUAAGGAAAUUAUAUCCAUUCAUGUUAGUUCCAAGUACCAAAAACAAAAAUAUAUCACACAACAAAUUUCACAAAGCCGAUCACAGUUUUAAUACAAUGGAAAAAAAUCAUACAGCAAACACAAAUUCAACUCAAACCCAUCAAAAAAUACACACCCCCUCCAUCUUACACACAUACAUGAAACUAAACAAAAACAAAUUACCUAAUAGGCCGUCUAUCAAAAUGAGCCCAAAAUUUAUCAUCAAAAUCAGCUUCUUCGGCCACUUUAUUCUCUGAAUCUUUGAGUUUCCACUUUAGGCUCGAAUUGAAGCAAUUAGCUUGUUGCAGACAAAAUCUACAAAAGAAAAUCGAACAUGAGAAACAGUAGAAAGCCUUGGUAAUUGAAAAGGCUAAACAAAAGAUGUUAAUUAUGCAUAAUUAUACAUCCUGCAUCUACAAAACAUCCAUUCCCAAAGAAACCCAUAGCAAGCUUAAAUUACUCCCAGAACAAAAAUACAAAACAAAACUAUACAAAAAAAAUCAAGAGAGAGAUAGAGAGAGAGAAUUGAAGAUACAAAAC